rnacentral:rRNA from 1 species
CAUAGGUUAAUGAGGCGAACCGGGGGAACUGAAACAUCUAAGUACCCCGAGGAAAAGAAAUCAACCGAGAUUCCCCCAGUAGCGGCGAGCGAACGGGGAGCAGCCCAGAGCCUGAAUCAGUGUGUGUGUUAGUGGAAGCGUCUGGAAAGGCGCGCGAUACAGGGUGACAGCCCCGUACACAAAAAUGCACAUACUGUGAGCUCGAUGAGUAGGGCGGGACACGUGGUAUCCUGUCUGAAUAUGGGGGGACCAUCCUCCAAGGCUAAAUACUCCUGACUGACCGAUAGUGAACCAGUACCGUGAGGGAAAGGCGAAAAGAACCCCGGCGAGGGGAGUGAAAAAGAACCUGAAACCGUGUACGUACAAGCAGUGGGAGCACGCUUAGGCGUGUGACUGCGUACCUUUUGUAUAAUGGGUCAGCGACUUAUAUUCUGUAGCAAGGUUAACCGAAUAGGGGAGCCGAAGGGAAACCGAGUCUUAACUGGGCGUUAAGUUGCAGGGUAUAGACCCGAAACCCGGUGAUCUAGCCAUGGGCAGGUUGAAGGUUGGGUAACACUAACUGGAGGACCGAACCGACUAAUGUUGAAAAAUUAGCGGAUGACUUGUGGCUGGGGGUGAAAGGCCAAUCAAACCGGGAGAUAGCUGGUUCUCCCCGAAAGCUAUUUAGGUAGCGCCUCGUGAAUUCAUCUCCGGGGGUAGAGCACUGUUUCGGCAAGGGGGUCAUCCCGACUUACCAACCCGAUGCAAACUGCGAAUACCGGAGAAUGUUAUCACGGGAGACACACGGCGGGUGCUAACGUCCGUCGUGAAGAGGGAAACAACCCAGACCGCCAGCUAAGGUCCCAAAGUCAUGGUUAAGUGGGAAACGAUGUGGGAAGGCCCAGACAGCCAGGAUGUUGGCUUAGAAGCAGCCAUCAUUUAAAGAAAGCGUAAUAGCUCACUGGUCGAGUCGGCCUGCGCGGAAGAUGUAACGGGGCUAAACCAUGCACCGAAGCUGCGGCAGCGACGCUGAUGCGUUGUUGGGUAGGGGAGCGUUCUGUAAGCCUGUGAAGGUGUGCUGUGAGGCAUGCUGGAGGUAUCAGAAGUGCGAAUGCUGACAUAAGUAACGAUAAAGCGGGUGAAAAGCCCGCUCGCCGGAAGACCAAGGGUUCCUGUCCAACGUUAAUCGGGGCAGGGUGAGUCGACCCCUAAGGCGAGGCCGAAAGGCGUAGUCGAUGGGAAACAGGUUAAUAUUCCUGUACUUGGUGUUACUGCGAAGGGGGGACGGAGAAGGCUAUGUUGGCCGGGCGACGGUUGUCCCGGUUUAAGCGUGUAGGCUGGUUUUCCAG